rnacentral:rRNA from 1 species
GACGAACGCUGGCGGCGUGCUUAACACAUGCAAGUCGAGCGGGGUCCAACCGGUGGCAACACCGGGGAAGAUCUAGCGGCGAACGGGUGAGUAACACGUGAGCAACCUGCCCCGAAGACUGGGAUAACACCGGGAAACCGGUGCUAAUACCGGAUGUCGUCAUUAGGCCGCAUGACCUGAUGAUGAAAGGAUUCAUCGCUUCGGGAGGGGCUCGCGGGCUAUCAGCUUGNGGUGGGGUAACGGUCUACCAAGGCGACGACGGCUAGCUGGUCUGAGAGGACGACCAGCCACACUGGGACUGAGACACGGCCCAGACUCCUACGGGAGGCAGCAGUGGGGAAUCUUGCGCAAUGGGCGAAAGCCUGACGCAGCAACGCCGCGUGGGGGAUGAAUGCCUUCGGGUUGUAAACCCCUUUC